GCCAUAUCACAUUGAAACACCGGCUCUCGUAAGAACAGCUAAGUUAAGCAACGUCGAGCUUGGUCAAUACCUAGAUGAGUGACCGCUUGAGAAUACCAGAUGC